GCAAAGUAGAAUAAACGCGUCAAGUGUUGCGAAACGGGAUGUUGUUCGCAAACGAAAGCGGGAAACCGCUGCGGUGUUUAUUCGCGUCCGUUG
rnacentral:ncRNA from 1 species